rnacentral:rRNA from 1 species
UAGGGAAUAUUGCACAAUGGAGGAAACUCUGAUGCAGCGACGCCGCGUGAGUGAUGAAGGCUUUCGGGUUGUAAAGCUCUGUCCUAGGGGAAGAUAAUGACGGUACCCUAGAAGAAAGGACCGGCUAACUUCGUGCCAGCAGCCGCGGUAAGACGAGGGGUCCUAGCGUUGUUCGGAAUCAUUGGGCGUAAAGCGGGUGUAGGUGGCCUGGUAAGUCAGAUGUGAAAGCCCUGGGCUCAACCCAGGAAGUGCAUUUGAUACUGCUAGGCUUGAGUAUCAGAGAGGGUAGCGGAAUUUCUGGUGUAGUGGUGAAAUACGUAGAUAUCAGAAGGAACAUCGGUGGCGAAGGCGGCUGCCUGGCUGAAUACUGACACUCAGACCCGAAAGCGUGGGUAGCAAACAGG